UUCUUCCUACUUAUCCUCAGCCAAACCCAGCUCCACCCUCUCUGCCUCCUAAACUCUGUUUCUGGGAAACUUUACUGUCAGAUGCCGAUAAUAAACUGGAGACAACAUCAAGACUUGUUUUUUCUUACCGGUUGGAUCGUGGAACGGGUGAAUCUCCCUGGUCUUGUUCAGUUUGCCAUUUUGAUGCCCCAAGUUUUGAAGAUUUCACAAAGCACCUCAAGAGUGAAACACAUGCUUAUUUUGUGUGGGACAGGGUCGCAAGCAGAAACAAAGUUGAUCGCACCAACCCUGAUAACUUGCAGCUUGGUCGCUCAGAGGUAAUGUGUUUAAA